rnacentral:misc_RNA from 1 species
GUAUUAAGUUUAAAGGCAUUGAAGCCCUUGAUUUACAUUCUAUGACAUACAAUGGGGUGUGUAAAGCAUAGUACCCGGGCUCUGCUGUAGAAUGAAGCCGGCCUUUUUACAAGCCUGCAGCAUUCAAAUCCAAAGUUUCCUUUGAUUUAUAGCGUCACCCAAGACUACAAAAGGUUCACAGGUGGUUGAAAUUAACUUACGAAGCGUGCACAUGCCCACAAGGAGCCAGCAACAGCAUCGCAGGUGAAUACAAUAAUGAUCCUUCCGCAGGUUCACCUACGGAAA